rnacentral:rRNA from 1 species
UGGGGAAUUUUGGACAAUGGGCGCAAGCCUGAUCCAGCAAUGCCGUGUGCAGGAUGAAGGCCUUCGGGUUGUAAACUGCUUUUGUACGGAGCGAAAAGGUCUGCCCUAAUACGGUGGGCUCAUGACGGUACCGUAAGAAUAAGCACCGGCUAACUACGUGCCAGCAGCCGCGGUAAUACAGAGGGUGCAAGCGUUAAUCGGAAUUACUGGGCGUAAAGCGUGCGCAGGCGGUUAUGCAAGACAGAGGUGAAAUCCCCGGGCUCAACCUGGGAACUGCAUUUGUGACUGCAUGGCUAGAGUACGGUAGAGGGGGAUGGAAUUCCGCGUGUAGCAGUGAAAUGCGUAGAUAUGCGGAGGAACACCGAUGGCGAAGGCAAUCCCCUGGGCCUGUACAGACGCUCAUGCACGAAAGCGUGGGGAGCAAACA